rnacentral:rRNA from 1 species
AUUGAACGCUGGCGGCAUGCUUUACACAUGCAAGUCGAACGGCAGCGCGGGCUUCGGCCUGGCGGCGAGUGGCGAACGGGUGAGUAAUGCAUCGGAACGUGCCCAGUAGUGGGGGAUAGCCCGGCGAAAGCCGGAUUAAUACCGCAUACGACCUGCGGGUGAAAGCGGGGGACCGAAAGGCCUCGCGCUAUUGGAGCGGCCGAUGUCGGAUUAGCUAGUUGGUGGGGUAAAGGCUUACCAAGGCGACGAUCCGUAGCUGGUCUGAGAGGACGACCAGCCACACUGGGACUGAGACACGGCCCAGACUCCUACGGGAGGCAGCAGUGGGGAAUUUUGGACAAUGGGGGCAACCCUGAUCCAGCCAUGCCGCGUGAGGGAAGAAGGCCUUCGGGUUGUAAACCGCUUUUGUUCGGGAAGAAAUCCUCUGGGCUAAUACCCCGGGGGGAUGACGGUACCGGAAGAAUAAGCACCGGCUAACUACGUG